rnacentral:pre_miRNA from 11 species
AACCUUAUGGGAUAAUUGAUUAUCCUGUGCGGUCGAGUUAAGAUGACCGCACGGGAUAAUCGAUUAUCCCGUUCAGUU